rnacentral:rRNA from 1 species
UACAGAGGGUGCGAGCGUUGUUCGGAAUUAUUGGGCGUAAAGGGCGCGUAGGCGGCCUUCUAAGUCGAACGUGAAAUCCCCGGGCUCAACCCGGGAACUGCGUCCGAUACUGGAAGGCUUGAAUCCGGGAGAGGGAUGCGGAAUUCCAGGUGUAGCGGUGAAAUGCGUAGAUAUCUGGAGGAACACCGGUGGCGAAGGCGGCAUCCUGGACCGGUAUUGACGCUGAGGCGCGAAAGCCAGGGGAGCAAACGGG